UACGUAGGGGGCAAGCGUUGUCCGGAUUUAUUGGGCGUAAAGAGCGUGUAGGCGGUCAGGUAGGUCCGUUGUGAAAACUCGAGGCUCAACCUCGAGACGCCGAUGGAAACCAUCUGACUAGAGUCCGGAAGAGGAGAGUGGAAUUCCUGGUGGUAGCGGUGAAAUGCGCAGAUAUCAGGAAGAACACCCGUGGCUAAGGCGGCUCUCUAGUACGGUACUGACGCUGAGACGCGAAAGCGUGGGGAGCGAACAGG
rnacentral:rRNA from 1 species